GGCCGGUGAUUGGGGUGAAGUCGUAACAAGGUAGCCGUAUCGGAAGGUGCGGCUGGAUCACCUCCUUUCUAGGGAGA
rnacentral:rRNA from 1 species